GUGCCAGCCGCCGCGGUAAUACGGAGGGUGCAAGCGUUAAUCGGAAUUACUGGGCGUAAAGCGUGCGUAGGCGGUUAAUUAAGUCAGAUGUGAAAGCCCCGGGCUUAACCUGGGAACUGCAUUUGAUACUGGUUAACUAGAGUUUAGUAGAGGAGAGUGGAAUUUCAGGUGUAGCGGUGAAAUGCGUAGAUAUCUGAAGGAACACCAGUGGCGAAGGCGACUCUCUGGACUAAAACUGACGCUGAGGUACGAAAGCGUGGGUAGCAAACAGGAUUAGAUACCCCAGUAGUCC
rnacentral:rRNA from 1 species